rnacentral:rRNA from 1 species
GAUGAACGCUGGCGGCGUGCCUAAUACAUGCAAGUCGAGCGAACAGAUGAGGAGCUUGCUCCUCUGACGUUAGCGGCGGACGGGUGAGUAACACGUGGAUAACCUACCUAUAAGACUGGGAUAACUUCGGGAAACCGGAGCUAAUACCGGAUAAUAUAUUGAACCGCAUGGUUCAAUAGUGAAAGACGGUUUUGCUGUCACUUAUAGAUGGAUCCGCGCCGCAUUAGCUAGUUGGUAAGGUAACGGCUUACCAAGGCGACGAUGCGUAGCCGACCUGAGAGGGUGAUCGGCCACACUGGAACUGAGACACGGUCCAGACUCCUACGGGAGGCAGCAGUAGGAAAUCUUCCGCAAUGGGCGAAAGCCUGACGGAGCAACGCCGCGUGAGUGAUGAAGGUCUUCGGAUCGUAAAACUCUGUUAUUAGGGAAGAACAAAUGUGUAAGUAACUAUGCACGUCUUGACGGUACCUAAUCAGAAAGCCACGGCUAACUACGUG